rnacentral:rRNA from 1 species
GAACGCUGGCGGCGUGCCUAAUACAUGCAAGUCGAACGAACUCUGGUAUUGAUUGGUGCUUGCAUCAUGAUUUACAUUUGAGUGAGUGGCGAACUGGUGAGUAACACGUGGGAAACCUGCCCAGAAGCGGGGGAUAACACCUGGAAACAGAUGCUAAUACCGCAUAACAACUUGGACCGCAUGGUCCGAGCUUGAAAGAUGGCUUCGGCUAUCACUUUUGGAUGGUCCCGCGGCGUAUUAGCUAGAUGGUGGGGUAAUGGCUCACCAUGGCAAUGAUACGUAGCCGACCUGAGAGGGUAAUCGGCCACAUUGGGACUGAGACACGGCCCAAACUCCUACGGGAGGCAGCAGUAGGGAAUCUUCCACAAUGGACGAAAGUCUGAUGGAGCAACGCCGCGUGAGUGAAGAAGGGUUUCGGCUCGUAAAACUCUGUUGUUAAAGAAGAACAUAUCUGAGAGUAACUGUUCAGGUAUUGACGGUAUUUAACCAGAAAGCCACGGCUAACUACGUGCCAGCAGCCGCGGUAAUACGUAGGUGGCAAGCGUUGUCCGGAUUUAUUGGGCGUAAAGCGAGCGCAGGCGGUUUUUUAAGUCUGAUGUGAAAGCCUUCGGCUCAACCGAAGAAGUGCAUCGGAAACUGGGAAACUUGAGUGCAGAAGAGGACAGUGGAACUCCAUGUGUAGCGGUGAAAUGCGUAGAUAUAUGGAAGAACACCAGUGGCGAAGGCGGCUGUCUGGUCUGUAACUGACGCUGAGGCUCGAAAGUAUGGGUAGCAAACAGGAUUAGAUACCCUGGUAGUCCAUACCGUAAACGAUGAAUGCUAAGUGUUGGAGGGUUUCCGCCCUUCAGUGCUGCAGCUAACGCAUUAAGCAUUCCGCCUGGGGAGUACGGCCGCAAGGCUGAAACUCAAAGGAAUUGACGGGGGCCCGCACAAGCGGUGGAGCAUGUGGUUUAAUUCGAAGCUACGCGAAGAACCUUACCAGGUCUUGACAUACUAUGCAAAUCUAAGAGAUUAGACGUUCCCUUCGGGGACAUGGAUACAGGUGGUGCAUGGUUGUCGUCAGCUCGUGUCGUGAGAUGUUGGGUUAAGUCCCGCAACGAGCGCAACCCUUAUUAUCAGUUGCCAGCAUUAAGUUGGGCACUCUGGUGAGACUGCCGGUGACAAACCGGAGGAAGGUGGGGAUGACGUCAAAUCAUCAUGCCCCUUAUGACCUGGGCUACACACGUGCUACAAUGGAUGGUACAACGAGUUGCGAACUCGCGAGAGUAAGCUAAUCUCUUAAAGCCAUUCUCAGUUCGGAUUGUAGGCUGCAACUCGCCUACAUGAAGUCGGAAUCGCUAGUAAUCGCGGAUCAGCAUGCCGCGGUGAAUACGUUCCCGGGCCUUGUACACACCGCCCGUCACACCAUGAGAGUUUGUAACACCCAAAGUCGGUGGGGUAACCUUUUAGGAACCAGCCGCCUAAGGUGGGACAGAUGAUUAGGGUGAAGUCGUAACAGGGGUAGCCGUA